rnacentral:rRNA from 1 species
UACAUGAGGGGCGAACGUUGUUCGGUGUCACUGGGCUUAAAGGGUGCGUAGGUGGUUUCGUAAGUAAGGUGUGAAAGCCCUCGGCUUACCCGGGGAAUUGCGCCUUAUACUGCGAGACUUGAGGAUUUCAGGGGAAUGGGGAACUCCAGGUGUAGCGGUGAAAUGCGCAGAUAUCUGGGGGAAGGCCGGCGGCGAAGGCGCCAUUCUGGGAAAUUCCUGACACUGAGGCACGAAAGCGUGGGGAGCAAACAGG